rnacentral:snoRNA from 1 species
GUCGACAAUACUUCAGAGAAUCAUUUCUAUAGUAUUCGACCUACUCUUGGUUCCCUAAAGGAGCUACAGAUCCCACCCUGGUUGAUGAUGGAUAUCCUCGAUUCCUUAGAGUGAUGAACUCUGGUUGUUCUCGUACCCUCCGUAAGGAAGGCGGUAUUAACCACCUUUGUGGGGUUGACUGUAUAGAGAACGGUGAUGAUCUCGUCCCCUGCUGCGGUCUUGCCUUUCGGCGCGUGGUUGGGGUGGGCAUCGAUGGACGUCUGACAGGC